UCACUUACCUGGACGGGGUCAAUGGGUGAUCAAGAAGGUCCAUGGCCUAGGUUGGUGACCUCCAUUGCACUUAGGAGGGGUGCCCGCCUAAGGUCGGCCCAAGUGGUCGAGCCUACGUCAUAAUUUGUGGCAGUGGAGGCAAGCGUUCGCGCGGCCUCUU
rnacentral:snRNA from 1 species